rnacentral:lncRNA from 10 species
CUCGCAUUGCUAUAAAGGACUACCUGAGACUGGGUAAUUUAUGAAGAAAAGCGGUCUAAUUGACUUAUAGUUCCACAGGCUAUAAAGAAGGCAUAGCCAAGAAGCCUCAGGAAACUUACAAUCAUGGAAGACGGCAAAGGGGAAGCAAAUACAUUUUACCAUGGUAAAGCAGGAGAGAAAGAGUGAAGGGGGAAGUGCUACACACUUUUAAAAAAACAAAUCUCAUGAGAACUCACUCAUUAUGAUGAGAACAACAAGGGGGUUGUCCUCCCCCAUGAUCCAAUCACCUUCCUCCAGGCAUCUCCUCCAACGCUGGGGAUUACAAUUCAACAUGAGAUUUGGGCAGGAACACAAAUCCAAACCAUAUAAUUCCUCCCUGGCCCCUCCCAAAUCUCAUGUCCUUCUCACAUUGCAAAAUACAAUUAUCCCUUCUCAAUAGUCAACAGUCCCCCAGUUUAAACUCAUUUCAGCAUUAACACAAAAGUCCAUAGUCCAAAUUCUCAUGAGACAAGGUAAGAUCCUUCAGCCUAUGAACCUGUAAAAUCAAAAACAAGUUAGUUAUUUUCAAGAUACAAUGGGGGUACAGGCAUUGGGUAAAUGCUCCCAUUCCAAAUGGGAGAAGUUGGCAAAAACAAAGAGACUAUGAUCCCAUGCAAGUCUGAAACCCAACAGGGCAGUCAUUCAGUCUCAAACCUAUAAUCUCCUUUGACUGUAUGUCUCACAUUCAGGCCACACUGAUACAAGGGGUGGGCUCCCAAGGCCUUGGACAUCUCCACCCUUGUGGCUUUGCAGAGUACAACACCCUCAGCUGCUUUCAUAGGCUGAUAUUGGGUGCCUGUGGUUUCUCCAUGUGCACGAUGCAAGCUGUCAGUGGAUCUACUAUUCUGGGGUCUGGAGGUUGGUGGCCUUCCUCUCACAGCUGCACUAGGCAGUGCCCCAGUGGGAACUCUGUGUGGGGGCUCCAACCCCAUAUUCCCCUCUGCACUGCCCUAGUAGAGGUUCUCCAUAAGGGCUCUGCCCCCUAAAGCAGACCUUCUGCCUGGACAUCCAGAUUUCCCAUACAUCCUCUGAGAUCUGGGCAGAGGCACCCAAGACUCAGCUUUUGCACUCUGUGUACCCACAGGCUUAAUAUCACAUGGAAGCUGCCAAGGCUUGGGGCUUGUACCCUCUGAAGCAAUGCCCUGAACAGUACCUUGGCCCCUUUUAGCCACAGCUGGAGUUGGAGCAGUGGCAAUGCAAGGUGCCAUGUCCCAAGGCUGCAAAGUACAGUGGGGCCCUGGACUUGGCCCACAGAACCAUUCUUCCCUCUUAGGCCUCCAGGCCUGUGAUGGGAGGGACUACCGCAAAGGUCUCUGAAAUGCCUUCGAGGCAUUUUCCCUAUUAUCUCAGCUAUCAACAUUUGGCUCCUCUUUACUUAUGCAAAUUUCUGCAGCCAACUUGAAAUCCUCUGCAGAAAAUGGGUUUUUCUUUUCUUUUUCUUU